CUUAAGGUAAGAAGCCUCUGAGCACCAUAACUACUUAACGGUUCCUAUAUGGUUCCUUUAAGAUAUGGGAUCUAUUUUCCUCUGGGUUGCUCACAUCUAAAAACUGGAAUCACUAAUACAAUCAUUUAUUUGAGCACAGGCUCAUCUAAAGGUAUGUGUAGUGCAUGAUAAGUUUCUCUUAUUACUGGGUUAUACAAAUGUAUACACAAAAGGCAACUACAGG